GUUUAUUGCUAUUUAACUUUGAAGGAAUAGUCACUCGUAUUGAUAUUUUGAUUUUGGUCUCGAAUAAGUUGACGACGGUUUGCAAUUCCCUUCUAAUAUCUUCACUAUUCUAAAGGAUGGAAAUGCUGAACUUUGUCAAAUAAACUUUAUUAUUGCAAAAUUUAUAAAUAUGUUUAGUUCCAUGCUUCAAGGUUUUAGCCUAUGUGAUACUAUUGGAGUAACUACUAAUAAAAUUUUAUCAUCUGUUUAACAAAAAUGUUUAUUUG
rnacentral:lncRNA from 1 species